rnacentral:rRNA from 1 species
AGAGUUUGAUUAUGGCUCAGGAUGAACGCUAGCGACAGGCUUAACACAUGCAAGUCGAGGGGCAGCGCGGGGGUAGCAAUACCUUGGCGGCGACCGGCGCACUGGUGAGUAACACGUAUGCGACCUGCCCCGGACAGGGGGAUAAACCCGGGAAACUGGGCCUAAUACCCCCAUAUGCCCUGAGGAUGCAUGUCCUUUGGGUGAAAGAUCCGUCGGUCCGGGAUGGGCAUGCGGCGCAUUAGCUUGUUGGCGGGGCAACGGCCCACCAAGGCGACGAUGCGUAGGGGUUCUGAGAGGAAGGUCCCCCACACUGGUACUGAGACACGGACCAGACUCCUACGGGAGGCAGCAGUGAGGAAUAUUGGUCAAUGGGCGAUAGCCUGAACCAGCCAAAGUCGCGUGCGGGAUGAAGGCCCUCCGGGUCGUAAACCGCUUUAGCCGGGGAGUAACGUGCGGAACGCGUUCCGCAGUGAGAGUACCCGGAGAAUAAGCAUCGGCUAACUCCGUGCCAGCCGCCGC